GUGCUCACUUUGGGAGCACAUAUACUAAAACUGGAACAAUACAGAGAAGAUUAGUAUGGCCCCUGAGCAAGGAUGACACACAAAUUCGUGAAGCAUUCCAUAGUUUU
rnacentral:snRNA from 1 species